rnacentral:rRNA from 1 species
AAUCAACGCUGGCGGCGUGCCUAACACAUGCAAGUCGAACGCGAAAGGGGCUUCGGCCCUGAGUAGAGUGGCGUCCGGGUGAGUAACGCGUGGGUAAGUCUACCCUCGGGUGGGGAAGUAACCAAUCGAAGAUUGGCUAUACCGCAUAAUGCAGCGGCUCGACAUCGAGACAGUUGUUAAAGUACAGCAAUGCGCCAGAGGAGGAGCCUGCGUCUGAUUAGCUUGUU